AACGUAGGUGGCAAGCGUUAUCCGGAUUUACUGGGCGUAAAGCAUGUGCAGACGGGUUGGUAAGUGGUGUAUGAAAGCGUUCGGCUUAACCGGGCAAGCGUAGGCCAGACUGCCAGUCUUGAGAGUGGGAGAGGGAUGUGGAAUUCCGGGUGUAGUGGUGAAAUGCGUAGAGAUCCGGAGGAACCCCAGAGGCGAAGGCGGCGUCCUGGCCCAUUUCUGACGUUCAGACAUGACAGCAUGGGGAGCGAACGGG
rnacentral:rRNA from 1 species